rnacentral:rRNA from 1 species
AUGGUGCGGACGACGGUGCAGGAGCUGGCGGCGGCCGUCGAGGAGCCGCCGCGGCAGUACGUGGUGCACGAGCGAGACCAAGACCACCUGCUGGCCGCCGACGAGAUGCCGGACCCCAUCCCUCUCAUCGACCUUGGCCGGCUCACGGCCGCCGACGAGGCCCACAAGCUCCGGGAGGCCCUACAGACCUGGGGCCUCUUCCUGGUCACCAACCAUGGAAUUGAGGAGUCUCUUAUGGACGCCAUGAUGAGCGCGUCGAGGGACUUCUUCCGGCAGCCGUCUGAAGAAAAGCACAAAUGUAGCAACCUGAAAGAUGGCGGCAGGCACUUGGAGGUGGAAGGCUAUGGAAAUGACAAAGUGGUAACCCCCCAGGAUCAGGGCCUCAGCUGGAACGACCGGUUGCAUUUGAGAGUGGAGCCGGAAGAUGAGAGGAAUUUUGCCAAGUGGCCCACCCACCCGGAAUCUUUCAGGGAUGUGCUACUUGAGUACGCAACAAGAACCAAGAGAAUAAGAGAUCUUAUCUUGCGAUCAAUAGCCAAGAUCCUGGACCUUGAUGAGGAUUACUUCGUCAACCAAAUAUCAAACAAGGCUCGUGGGUUUGCUAGGUUCAACUACUACCCCCCAUGUCCGAGACCUGACCUAGUUUUGGGCAUGAGGCCUCACUCUGAUGUUGGUCUCCUUACCAUCCUUUCUGUCGACCACGACGUCGGUGGCUUGCAAGUUCAGAGAGAUGGGAAAUGGUAUAAUGUUCCAGCCAAGCCUUAUACUUUGGUGAUUAACUUAGCUGACUGCAUGGAGAUAAUGUGCAACGGAAUCUUCAUGAGCCCAGUUCAUAGGGUGGUGACGAAUGCCAAGAAGGAGAGACUUUCACUGGGUGUGUUUUAUGUUGUGGAUGGCGAGAUGGUGCUGGAGCCUGCGCCUGGUUUGCUGGAUGACGAGCGACCACCAAGAUAUGGGAAAUUCAAGGCCAAUGAUUUCGGUUUUUCUUUCGACUGA